rnacentral:rRNA from 1 species
AAUCAACGCUGGCGGCGUGCCUAACACAUGCAAGUCGAACGCGAAAGUCCCGCAAGGGAUAAGUAGAGUGGCAAACGGGUGAGUAACGCGUGGGCGGCCUACCUUCGAGUGGGGAGUAACCUUCCGAAAGGAGGGCUAAUACCGCAUGACAUCCCGUGUUUGGAUACACGGACAUCAAAGCCGGGGAUCGUAAGACCUGGCGCUUGAAGAGGGCCCGCGUCCGAUUAGCUAGUUGGUGGGGUAACGGCUCACCAAGGCUCCGAUCGGUAUCCGGCCUGAGAGGGCGGACGGACACACUGGAACUGAGACACGGUCCAGACUCCUACGGGAGGCCAGCAGUGGGGAAUUGUUCGCAAUGGGCGCAAGCCUGACGACGCAACGCCGCGUGGAGGAUGAAAGA